rnacentral:rRNA from 1 species
CCUACGGGAGGCAGCAGUGAGGAAUAUUGGACAAUGGGCGCAAGCCUGAUCCAGCCAUGCCGCGUGCAGGAAGAAGCAUCUAUGGUGUGUAAACUGCUUUUGUACAGGAAGAAACACUCCCUCGUGAGGGAGCUUGACGGUACUGUAAGAAUAAGGACCGGCUAACUCCGUGCCAGCAGCCGCGGUAAUACGGAGGGUCCGAGCGUUAUCCGGAAUCAUUGGGUUUAAAGGGUCCGUAGGCGGUUUAAUAAGUCAGUGGUGAAAUCUGGUCGCUCAACGAUCAAACGGCCAUUGAUACUGUUAGACUUGAAUUAUAAGGAAGUAACUAGAAUAUGUAGUGUAGCGGUGAAAUGCUUAGAUAUUACAUGGAAUACCCAAUUGCGAAGGCAGGUUACUACUUAUGGAUUGACGCUGAUGGACGAAAGCGUGGGGAGCGAACAGGAUUUAGAUACCCUGGUAGUCCACGCCGUAAACGAUGGAUACCUANCUGUCGUGACGAUACUGUAGUGNGUAGACGAAGUAG